UGGGGAAUAUUGGACAAUGGGCGAAAGCCUGAUCCAGCCAUGCCGCGUGUGUGAAGAAGGUCUUCGGAUUGUAAAGCACUUUAAGUUGGGAGGAAGGGCAUUAACCUAAUACGUUAGUGUUUUGACGUUACCGACAGAAUAAGCACCGGCUAACUCUGUGCCAGCAGCCGCGGUAAUACAGAGGGUGCAAGCGUUAAGCGGGAUUACUGGGCGUAAAGCGCGCGUAGGUGGUUUGUUAAGUUGGAUGUGAAAUCCCCGGGCUCAACCUGGGAACUGCAUUCAAAACUGACUGACUAGAGUAUGGUAGAGGGUGGUGGAAUUUCCUGUGUAGCGGUGAAAUGCGUAGAUAUAGGAAGGAACACCAGUGGCGAAGGCGACCACCUGGACUAAUACUGACACUGAGGUGCGAAAGCGUGGGGAGCAAACA
rnacentral:rRNA from 1 species